rnacentral:lncRNA from 1 species
AGCGCCCUAGGAGCGCCUUGACAGCGCCCGUAAGCCAGCAGCGCCCUGGAGCGCCUUGACAGCGCCCGUAAGCCGGCAGCGCCCUGGAGCGCCUUGAUAGCGCCCUUGGAGCGCCUUGCCCUAUUUUUGUACCACAUCGAUUACAAUACGUUAUAAUGUUAUGAAUAUAAGGAAUGACUUGGUUUAUGAGUUUGUAAAUAUAAGCCAGGUUGGCGCCACCCCCGUCGCUCCCCGUGUCUUGGCGCCACCCUGUCGCCAGUGCAAUUCUAUUUUCUUUGAACCAUCUUUGUACCACAUCGAGAACAUAAUGGUAUAUUCUUAUGAAUAUAACCAGUGAUCUACCACAUCGAGAACAUAAUGGUAUAUUCUUGUGAAUAUAACCAGUGAUCUAAUUAUUCAACAAACUAUGUAAGCCAAGCGCCACCCCUGUCGCCAGCACAUAGGCGCCGCCCCUGUCGCCGUUCAAAUGUUAUUUUCUUAAACCAAUUUCUUCGUACCACAUCGAGAAGGAGUAAAAGGAGGGUCACUCCUUUCCUUAUAUAUACACAACACAUGCUAGCUUAUUAAAAUUAGGAAGCGCCGCUGCUAAAUUUGGUACGUCUACUUAUUUAUUCCUAAUUAAUGAUUUAUUUUUAUAGUUUUGUUAGCUCAGUUAUUAGGUUAGCUGUGAUUUUAGAAUUAAUAUAGGUUUGACUUAUAAUUAAUAAAUGUGUGAACAUUCGAGGGAAUGAAGUUGUAGGACUCGAGAACGUAUACAGUACCCUUCGCUGUGAUAUUUUAUGAUGUUUCGGUGAACAUUUUAUUGAUGACUUUCUGAUGAGAAAUGAGUACUCUUACAUUUGUUCUAUGUGUGAUGCUUCCUUUGUGAAGUAAAGUAUGAUACUUCCUUCGGGAAGGAAAGCUAAACCAAUUGUUUAGCUGGCCGGGAUCCCCAACAGUAGAACGUGUGAACUUGUGAACGUGUCUGAAUACUCAUACUCAUCUUGAUGUGUGAAACUGUUUUGAUGACUCUGAUGAAAUAUUGAUUUGGUUCACCAAGUUUUGUGAAUAAAACUCAGUUGAAAUGUACGUAUAUGCUUGCUGAGCUUUAUAAGCUCAUCCUUUUUUAUGUAUUAACUUUACAGGGAAAAAUUUCGGAAAAGGAUAUUAAGGCUAAUGCUAGGUGAAGAGUAUGAGCUGUUAAGUAUCCAAUAGUCAAGAGAGAUAUUCAGGGAAAUGUUCAAGGUUGGUCUUAGAUGGAAUUGUGUAAUUGAGAUUCAGUUGUAAACUAUAGUUGUAGUAGAUUAACAGUGAUUCUUCUUAUCGAAGUUGAUCCGAUAAUGGUAGUAGUUGAUUCUAAUUUCAAUACUGUAACCUGGAUGCGAUCCUGUUGUUUUAGAGGGUUAAAAUGUUCUCUUUUUAAUCUUUUAUUAAUGCUUUCAGGUUUUAAAUUCCUCACAUAGUCAAGAGAGAUAUUCAGGGAAAUGUUCAAGGUUGGUCUUAGAUGGAAUUGUGUAAUUGAGAUUCAGUUGUAGACUAUAGUUGUAGUAGAUUAACAGUGAUUCUUCUUAUCGAAGUUGAUCCGAUAAUGGUAGUAGUUGUAUCUAAUUUCAAUACUGUAACCUGGAUGCGAUCCUGUUGUUUUAGGGGGUUAAAUGUUCUCUUUUAAAUCUUUUAUUAAUGCUUUCAGGUUUUAAAUUAUUUGGUUUUCAGAAAUACAGUUUUUCAAAAGUGUUUUAAAAGAUUUUGUGUGGUGACGUCAGGAUCCAGGCCCCCAGAUUUCUGGGGCGUCACAAAUCGGACUGGAGGGAAUGGAAUGAAAUUUGAUAUAUAUCUUGAGUAAAUGUUUAAAAUUCUCUUUAGCAAAAAAAUAAAUAAAAAAUCAACUUACUAGUAAAAAAACCUCAAAAUCUUUAUAUUUUCCUCCAUUCCUUUCCUAGCCUCCUACACUAGAGCUUAAACCCUCAAUUUGAGAAAGAAAACUCCACUCCUUCCUACAUGCCUAGUUUCUUCACAAAUCUCAACAUCAAAAAUUUACACUCGCUCGAUUGUUUUUUUCAAAUCUUCCAUCCUACCUUUUACUGCUUCCAUUCAAUUUUAAUCAUUACAUACCAUCAUCCCCAACCAAACACAACAACACAUUCCAUUCAAUUUUAAUCAUUACAUACCAUCAUCCCCAACCAAACACAACAACACAAGAAUAAUUCUUAAAUACCUUCAGGUGGAAGCACAGGUUAGUUCGCACAGCUAAACAACUAAUUAGCUAUGAUUCAUAAAUUACACAUAAGCUGCCUUCCGCUGCAAGAACAAAUAUUUUGAGUAAACAUAACCCAGGAGCAUAGUGAAUCACAGGCUCACAGCUAUUAAAAGUUCAAAUAAUUAAGCCCUGAAGAAUUACCAACACAUGCAAGGGGAAGUGAAAGAUGGGAAACCCAAGGCACAGAUAAAUGAUAGUGGAAUCUCAUUAAGGCCAGCUCAAAGCCUAGGUAUAUAAGUCAAACUUUCCUUUAUAUUGCUAUGCUGUUUUCUUUUCUUCUUCUUGUGUUGGUAUUUUACACUUCAAAGGAUAUUUUAAUUGUUACCACAGUCUCAAGUUACGGAUUAUCUACUCUACCAGCUCUGGUAUUACUCUCAAACAGUUAGAUUGUGCUCUGUAUCAGCAUAAUAAAUUAUCACCCCUAGGCAAUAUUCACACUACUGAUAAGAAGAUCAAGGGCAAUGAGGGUAACAUAAAUGCACUUAGGCAUUAGUGAAACAAUUUGGACGAAUAAAGCUUCGCAGUCCAACUGUAACAAUUUCAUAGACCUUAUUUAGCCAAAAAAAAAUAAAUUCCUAGAACUCAAAAAAUAAAAAAUAGAAAUCUUAC